rnacentral:tRNA from 1 species
GCCUUCGUAGUGUAGUGGUCAGCAUGCUGGGCGCGUAUUCCAGAGGUCCGUGGUUCGAUUCCCAGGGAAGGCG